rnacentral:lncRNA from 1 species
UAUAUAAAUGAAACCCGCUUUCCGUUGUCACGACAUAAUAUGAAAACGGCUUGACCGAUUUUGCUGAAAAUAACAGGGGAGGUAACUUAGACCCGGGAGAAAGUUUUAGGAUAGUUUUUGUCACCAUCCGGCUACGGGACGCGGGUGAAACGGCGGGAAAGCUAGUGUACAAUAAUGAUGUACCCGCCUAAUUUGUUAUCUUUAUCUUUAGAACACUGACCGUGUCUAAGGGCGCCCACACACAACUGCGACGCAGUGCUAUUUUGUUCGGCAGCCCGUUUGGUAGGGUAACCAUACUUUCAACUAUAUUUAGCCGUAAUGGACGUGUUUUUAGGAUUCGUAAGAUUUAUCUUGCUCGCUUUUCGUUGAACAUGCUGGGCGCAUCCAUUUAUUAACACUAUGAAUUCUGAUGAGAACUAUUUUACACAAAACUGCAAUGCAAUGCUAUUUUGUUCGGCAGCCCGUUUGGUAGGGUAACCAUACUUUCAACUAUAUUUAGCCGUAAUGGACGUGUUUUUAGGAUUCGUAAGAUUUAUCUUGCUCGCUUUUCGUUGAACAUGCUGGGCGCAUCCAUUUAUUACCACUAUGAACUCUGAUGAGAACUAUUUUACUCGAAAUCUCUUAAUCCAUAGUAUGGGUUAAGAGAUUUUUUUAUUUUUAUUUAGAAUGUCCUUACCUUCAUUUGAAGAGCUUUUGCGUUUAUUAUCAACAUGCCCCAAGCCCACAAAACGAUUCAUUCGAAUGUAUGGUUACCCUUCUAACCGGUUUGCCGGACGAAAUCGCAUCGCAGAAAUUUGCAUGGGGCUGAUACAAAAAUGCGAUGCGAUGCGACGCCGCGGUGCAGUUUUGUGUGGGCUCCCUAAAGCUAUUCUUUUGUUUGAUAAAAAAAUUUCAUAUAACACAUACAUACCUAUAUAAGAUAGGUAGUUAUGUACCUACUUAUCUCACUCUCCGAAACUAUUAAAAGAUUUGUUUUUUCUUACAAAUUUACACUACCUUAUGGUAGUCGUGCAAUUGUUGACAUAAUUUUUAUUUGCUGGAUAAUAAAUCAUCAGCUGGUAAGUCAUUUUUAAUAAUGUUAUAAUUAGCAGACAUGCAGCUUAGUUUCAUACUGUUUAGAAUAAAGUGUUAUUCUAAACAGUUUUAUUUUUCUAUAUAUAUAAAAAUGAAACCCGCUUUCCGUUGUCACGACAUAAUAUGAAAACGGCUUGACCGAUUUUGCUGAAAAUAACAGGGGAGGUAACUUAGACCCGGGAGAAAGUUUUAGAAUAGUUUUUGUCACCAUCCGGCUACGGGACGCGGGUGAAACGGAGGGACAGCUAGUGUUUAUUGUUAUCUUUAUCUUUAGCACACUGACCGUGUCUAAGGGCGUCCACACAAAACUGCGACGCAGUGCUAUUUUGUUCGGCAGCCCGUUUGGCAUGGUAACCAUACUUUCAACUAUAUUCAGCCGUAAUGGACGUGUUUUUAGGAUUCGUAAGAUUUAUCUUGCUCGCUUUUCGUUGAACAUGCUGGGCGCAUCCAUUUAUUACCACUAUGAACUCUGAUGAGAACUAUUUUACACAAAACUGCAAUGCAAUGCUAUUUUGUUCGGCAGCCCGUUUGGUAGGGUAACCAUACUUUCAACUAUAUUCAGCCGUAAUGGACGUGUUUUUAGGAUUCGUAAGAUUUAUCUUGCUCGCUUUUCGUUGAACAUGCUGGGCGCAUCCAUUUAUUACCACUAUGGACUCUGAUAUGAACUAUUUUACUCGAAAGUAGGUACUAUGGGUUGAGAGCAACCCAGAUAUUUUAUUUUUGAUUAUUUAUGUUGAGCAUAUCUUCAUUUGAAGAGCUUUUGAGUUUAUUAUCAACAUGACCCAUGCACACGAAAUGAUACACUCGAAGGUAUGAUUACCCUACUAAACGGUUUGCCGGACCAAAUCGCAUCGCAGAAAUUUGCAUGGGGCUGAUACAAAAAUGCGAUGCGAUGCGACGCCGCGGUGCAGUUUUGUGUGGGCUACCUAAAGCCAGUCUUUUGUUUGAUUAAAAAAAUUCAUAUAACACAUACAUACCUAUAUAAGAUAGGUAGUUAUGUACCUACUUAUCUCACUCUCCGAAACUAUUAAAAGAUUUGUUUUUUUUACAAAUUUACACUACCUUAUAGUAGUCGUGCAAUUGCUGACAUAAUUUUUAUUUGCUGGAUAAUAAAUCAUCAGCUGGUAAGUCAUUUUUAAUAAUGUUAUAAUUAGCAGACAUUCAGCUUAGUUUCAUACUGUUUAGAAUAAAGUGUUAUUCUAAACAGUUUUAUUUUUCUAUAUAUAUAAAAAUGAAACCCGCUUUCCGUUGUCACGACAUAACAUGAAAACGGCUUGACCGAUUUUGCUGAAAAUAAAAGGGGAGGUAACUUAGACCCGGGAGAAAGUUUUAGGAUAGUUUUUGUCACCAUCCGGCUACGGGACGCGGGUGAAACGGCGGGAAAGCUAGUGUACAAUAAUGAUGUACCCGCCUAAUUUGUUAUCUUUAUCUUUAGAACACUGACCGUGUCUAAGGGCGCCCACACACAACUGCGACGCAGUGCUAUUUUGUUCGGCAGCCCGUUUGGUAGGGUAACCAUACUUUCAACUAUAUUUAGCCGUAAUGGACGUGUUUUUAGGAUUCGUAAGAUUUAUCUUGCUCGCUUUUCGUUGAACAUGCUGGGCGCAUCCAUUUAUUAACACUAUGAAUUCUGAUGAGAACUAUUUUACACAAAACUGCAAUGCAAUGCUAUUUUGUUCGGCAGCCCGUUUGGUAGGGUAACCAUACUUUCAACUAUAUUUAGCCGUAAUGGACGUGUUUUUAGGAUUCGUAAGAUUUAUCUUGCUCGCUUUUCGUUGAACAUGCUGGGCGCAUCCAUUUAUUACCACUAUGAACUCUGAUGAGAACUAUUUUACUCGAAAUUACUAUGGGUUAAGAGAUUUUUAAGCUAUUGCAUAGCUUCUAUCGCAGGCCUUGAGCGCGGGGACCAAAUCCAGAAAUUCCGUAACGAAAAAAAAACGCAAUAAAUACGUUCGUUACGCAAUAAAAUUUCGCUACGCCUUAUUUUUUGUACAUCUGGACUACAUUUGAACUUCACAAGACAUCUUUGUUUAUUAGAUAUGUCUGUACGUACGUACGACCGGAAUCGAACCGGGUAAUAGCCGUUCCCAAUAAAAAAAAUAGACAUCUCACCGCGGAAGGUCGCAGCGAAGCGUCGAGGCAGCGGCCACGUGGGUCUGUAAGCAAUGGAGACCAAGGGUGAUUUUCCAAGGAAAUCAGUCGGCCAGUUGAAGGUAUUCAGAUAUUUCGAUGGUUUUUCUGUUUGACAGGAUUGUCUUCUAAACGAUGUGCGAAAACCCAUGUGCAAGACAUUUUCAGAGAAGUUUUGAUAAGACAUAAUUUGUGUUUAG